rnacentral:rRNA from 1 species
AGGCCUAACACAUGCAAGUCGAACGGAGAAGUUAGCAAUAACUUUUUAGUGGCGAACGGGUGAGUAACGCGUAGACAACCAACCUUACAGCGGGGGACAACACUUCGAAAGGAGUGCUAAUACCGCAUACGCUCCUGUGUUCGCAUGGAUGGAGGAGGAAAGGAGCCGCAAGGCUUCACUGUAAGACGGGUCUGCGUCUGAUUAGCUAGUUGGCGGGGUAACGGCCCACCAAGGCGACGAUCAGUAGCCGGUCUGAGAGGAUGAACGGCCACACUGGGACUGAGACACGGCCCAGACUCCUACGGGAGGCAGCAGUGGGGAAUCUUCCGCAAUGGACGAAAGUCUGACGGAGCGACGCCGCGUGAGUGAUGAAGGCCCUUGGGUCGUAAAGCUCUGUCAUUGGGGACGAACGACCGCCUCAGGAAAUGGGGGCGGAGUGACGGUACCCAAGAAGGAAGCCACGGCUAACUACGUGCCAGCAGCCGCGGUAAUACGUAGGUGGCAAGCGUUGUCCGGAAUUAUUGGGCGUAAAGCGCGCGCAGGUGGGAUCUUAAGUCCAUUUUGAAAGUUCGGAGCUCAACUCCGUGAUGGGAUGGAAACUGGGAUUCUUGAGUAUCGGAGAGGAAAGCGGAAUUCCCCGUGUAGCGGUGAAAUGCGUAGAUAUGGGGAGGAACACCAGUGGCGAAGGCGGCUUUCUGGACGAUGUCUGACACUGAGGCGCGAAAGCCAGGGGAGCGAACGGGAUUAGAUACCCCGGUAGUCCUGGCCGUAAACGAUGGGUACUAGGUGUGGGGGGUGUCAACUCCUCCCGUGCCGGCGUAACGCAAUAAGUACCCCGCCUGGGGAGUACGGCCGCAAGGUUGAAACUCAAAGGAAUUGACGGGGGCCCGCACAAGCGGAGGAGCAUGUGGUUUAAUUCGAUGAUACGCGAGGAACCUUACCAGGGCUCGAACGCAGGAGGAAUACUCCCGAAAGGAAGUAGCCAGAAAUGGCCGCCUGCGAGGUGCUGCAUGGUUGUCGUCAGCUCGUGCCGUGAGGUGUCAGGUUAAGUCCUAUAACGAGCGCAACCCCUAUUCAUAGUUGCCAGCAUAUUACGGUGGGGACUCUAUGAAAACUGCCUGCGCAAGCAGUGAGGAAGGUGGGGAUGACGUCAAAUCAGCACGGCCCUUAUGUCCUGGGCUACACACGUGCUACAAUGGCCGGUACAGAAGGCCGCAACCACGCAAGUGGAAGCUAAUCCCUAGAACCGGUCUCAGUUCGGAUUGGAGUCUGCAACCCGACUCCAUGAAGCCGGAUUCGCUAGUAAUCGCACAUCAGCCAUGGCGCGGUGAAUACGUUCCCGGGCCUUGUACACACCGCCCGUC